UACGGAGGGGGCGAGCGUUAUUCGGAAUUAUUGGGCGUAAAGGGCGCGUAGGCGGCUGUACAAGUCAAAGGUGAAAUCCCUCGGCUCAACUGAGGAACUGCCUUUGAAACUGUACGGGCUUGAGGCCGGGAGGGGGUAGCGGAAUUCCCAGUGUAGCGGUGAAAUGCGUAGAUACUGGGGAGGAACACCAGUGGCGAAGGCGCUACCUGGACCGGUUCUGAACGCUGAGGCGCGGAAAGCGUGG
rnacentral:rRNA from 1 species